rnacentral:rRNA from 1 species
UGGGGAAUAUUGGACAAUGGGCGCAAGCCUGAUCCAGCCAUGCCGCGUGAGUGACGAAGGUCUUCGGAUUGUAAAGCUCUUUUUAGCAGGGAAGAUAAUGACGGUACCUGCAGAAUAAGCCCCGGCUAACUUCGUGCCAGCAGCCGCGGUAAUACGAAGGGGGCUAGCGUUGUUCGGAAUUACUGGGCGUAAAGCGCACGUAGGCGGAUUGAUAAGUUAGAGGUGAAAUCCCGGGGCUCAACCUCGGAACUGCCAAGUGAUACUGAUGUGCUAGAGUGCAGAAAGGGCAACUGGAAUUCUUGGUGUAGCGGUGAAAUGCGUAGAUAUCAAGAGGAACACCUGAGGUGAAGACGGGUUGCUGGGCUGACACUGACGCUGAGGCGCGAAAGCCAGGGGAGCAAACGGGAUUAGAUACCCGAGUAGUCCCUGAGCGGGCUGGCAAGGCG